rnacentral:lncRNA from 1 species
CGUUACAAAGAUUCCAUGAAAUGUUUUGUAAGCAAUCCCAAGCAAAACUAAAGUACAACAUCUAUCACCCUUUUCAGGUUUUUAACUUUAUUCUGUCAUUUUAACAUCUUUCAUAUAUUUUUUCUUUCUUGUUAAUUUUUUUUUUUUCAAAGCUUUAUGGCUAUGUUAGAAAUGUGAAUGUAAAUAAACAUAUUUGUUAAAAAUAGAAGCCCAUAAGUGCCAAAUUUUAUUGAUAUAAAAUUUAGUAAGUUUGUUGAAGGUUUGAUCAGAGAGAGUACAAAAGCUAACCGUCGUAGACAAGACAAGAGAGAAAGUUAGUGAUGUACUU